rnacentral:rRNA from 1 species
AUUGAACGCUGGCGGCAGGCCUAACACAUGCAAGUCGAGCGAGCGGCGGACGGGUGAGUAAUGUCUGGGAAACUGCCUGAUGGAGGGGGAUAACUACUGGAAACGGUAGCUAAUACCGCAUACCAUCGGAUGUGCCCAGAUGGGAUUAGCUUGUUGGUGGGGUAACGGCUCACGAAGGCGACGGUCCCUAGCUGGUCUGAGAGGAUGACCAGCCAGCCUGGAAAUGAGACACGGUCGAGACUCCUGCAGGAGGAAGCAGUGGGGAAUAUUGCACAAGGGACGCAAGCCUGAUGCAGCCAAGCCGCGUGUAUGAAGAAGGCCUUCGGGUUGUAAAAUACUUUCAGCGGGGAGGCGUUACCCGCAGAAGAAGCACCGGCUAACUCCGUGCCAGCCGCCGCGGUAAUAC